GCCAGACUCCUACGGGAGGCAGCAGUGGGGAAUAUUGCACAAUGGGGGAAACCCUGAUGCAGCGACGCCGCGUGAGUGAAGAAGUAUUUCGGUAUGUAAAGCUCUAUCAGCAGGGAAGAAAAUGACGGUACCUGACUAAGAAGCCCCGGCUAACUACGUGCCAGCAGCCGCGGUAAUACGUAGGGGGCAAGCGUUAUCCGGAUUUACUGGGUGUAAAGGGAGCGUAGACGGCAUGGCAAGUCAGAUGUGAAAGCCCGGGGCUCAACCCCGGGACUGCCCUUGGAACUGUGCGGCUAGAGUGCGGGAGGGGCAGGCGGAAUUCCUGGUGUAGCGGUGAAAUGCGUAGAUAUCAGGAGGAACACCGGCGGCGAAGGCGGCCUGCUGGACCGCGACUGACGUUGAGGCUCGAAAGCGUGGGGAGCGAACAGGAUUAGAUACCCCGGUAAC
rnacentral:rRNA from 1 species